rnacentral:rRNA from 1 species
GUGUCAGCAGCCGCGGUAAUACGAAGGUGGCAAGCGUUGUCCGGAUUUACUGGGCGUAAAGCGUAUGCAGGCGGAUUGUUAAGUAGGAAGUGAAAGGUUGGAGCUCAACUCUAACACUGCUCCCUAUACUGGCAGUCUUGAGUGGCGGAGAGGAAGACGGAACGACACGUGUAGCGGUGAAAUGCGUUGAUAUGUGUCGGAACACCAAUGGCGAAAGCAGUCUUCUGGACGCAAACUGACGCUGAGAUACGAAAGCCAAGGUAGCAAACAAGAUUAGAUACCCUGGUAGUCUUGGCCAUAAACGAUGAUGACUAGUUGUUGGAGGAGUUAAAUCCUUUAGUAACGCAGCUAACGCGUGAAGUCAUCCGCCUGGGGAGUACGGUCGCAAGAUUAAAACUCAAAGGAAUUGACGG